UACGUAGGGGGCGAGCGUUUGUCCGGAAUCAUUGGGCGUAAAGCGCGUGUAGGCGGCCCGGUAAGUCCGCUGUGAAAGUCCAGGGCUCAACCCUGGGAUGCCGGUGGAUACUGUCGGGCUCGAGUCCGGAAGAGGCGAGUGGAAUUCCUGGUGUAGCGGUGAAAUGCGCAGAUAUCAGGAGGAACACCAAUGGCGAAGGCAGCUCGCUGGGACGUGACUGACGCUGAGACGCGAAAGCGUGGGGAGCAAACAGG
rnacentral:rRNA from 1 species